rnacentral:rRNA from 1 species
CCUACGGGUGACAGCAGUGGGGAAUAUUGCACAAUGGGGGAAACCCUGAUGCAGCGACGCCGCGUGAGUGAAGAAGUAUUUCGGUAUGUAAAGCUCUUUCAGCAGGGUAGAAAAUGACGGUACCUGAUUAAGAAGCCCCGGCUAACUACGUGCCAGCAGCCGCGGCAAUACGUAGGGGGCAAGCGUUAUCCGGAUUUACUGGGUGUAAAGGGGGCGUAGACGGCAGGACAAGUCUGGAGUGAAAUGCCGGGGCUUAACCCCGGAACUGCUUUGGAAACUGUGCAGCUAGAGUGCAGGAGAGGUAAGUGGAAUUCCUAGGGUAGCGGUGAAAUGCGUAGAUAUUAGGAGGAACACCAGUGGCGAAGGCGGCUUACUGGACUGUAACUGACGUUGAGGCUCGAAAGCGUGGGGAGCAAACAGGAUUAGAUACCCGUGUAGUC